rnacentral:rRNA from 1 species
UACGUAGGGUGCAAGCGUUGUCCGGAAUUAUUGGGCGUAAAGAGCUCGGUAGGCGGCUUGUCACGUCGGGGUGUGGAAAGCCCGGGGCUUAACCCCCGGGUCUUGACAUUCGAUCACGGGGCUAGCUAGAGUGUGGUAGGGGAGGAUCGGCAAAUUCCUGGGUGUAGCGGUGAAAAUGCGCAGAUAUCAGGAGGAACACCGGUGGCGAAGGCGGAUCUCUGGGCCAUUGACUGACGCUGAGGAGCGAAAGCGGUGGG